rnacentral:lncRNA from 1 species
AAAUGCGCCUUUGCAGGACUCACAGCUGUUCUGUGUUUUCAGUCUCUCCUGGUGCAGAGGGUCACGUGCCUCACUUCCCAGCCUGAUGAGAGUUGAGUGGGAAUCAGCCUGCUGCCUUUCCCCACCCUAGAACUUGGGCUUCAGCUUUCUCUGUUCUGCCACAUUAAUUGUCACUUCUCUAUCCACUUGCUGUUUUCCAAAACGGUUGAUCUCUCCUAUGCUGGUGUCUCUAAUUCUGUCUUCGUGGUCUCUUUUUAUUCCCUUACUGGCCAGUGGAGGUGCAGGAGUUGAUCUUGUUACUUCUACAGUAAUACAAGUGAGGUUUCAGCAUGUUGAUCACGGGGCCAGGUGGAUUUGUUAAUUUGUCUUCCCACACUCAGAGCUGACCAGAUCAGGAGGUAUGACCAGGUGUUAUUUCUUAAUAAAUCUUUUGCACUCCCAACUCCCUCUCAGCAUUUGCUUCCUGGAGAACCCAACCUGCCACAACAGGAAACAUUUAGAUCCUACAAAGUCAGCUGGGAAGAGAAGGAAUUCAGAAAAAAGAAUGAAACACUGAAAACUGUAUAUCAAAUAAGAAGAAUGAUGUGGAUUGUCGACUGGGAGACUAUAAAACCCAUCACUGAGCUCUUCAGGUCACAGAUUUUCCCUAUGGCAAGAACAAAGGCCCAUCAGGUAAAGGUGCAACUUCCCUCCCCCUCCCAACACUGGCGUCUCCUUAAGGAUUAAGCAUCUUUCCUUAGGCUAGAAACUGAUUGCUGCACUCACCUGUGACCGCCCAGCUCAAGACAAUAGACUUGCCUCCUGCUACGCCCAUGAAGAUAGCAGACCCACUACCUGCUGUGUCCAUCAAGCGCUGUGCAGACAGGGCAAUCUUGUGACUAUUGUGGGAGGGACAUUUCAAUCAUAGUGAAACACCCUCUUUGAGGGUAUAUAACCCACCUAUG